AGGCGACGACGGGUAGCCGGCCUGAGAGGGCGACCGGCCACACUGGGACUGAGACACGGCCCAGACUCCUACGGGAGGCAGCAGUGGGGAAUAUUGCGCAAUGGGCGAAAGCCUGACGCAGCGACGCCGCGUGAGGGACGAAGGCCUUCGGGUUGUAAACCUCUUUCAGCAGGGAAGAAGCGAAAGUGACGGUACCUGCAGAAGAAGCACCGGCUAACUACGUGCCAGCAGCCGCGGUAAUACGUAGGGUGCAAGCGUUGUCCGGAAUUAUUGGGCGUAAAGAGCUCGUAGUGUUUGUCGCGUCUGCUGUGAAAACUCGGGGCUUAAUCCCGGGCCUGCAGUGGGUACGGGCAGACUAGAGUGCGGUAGGGGAGACUGGAAUUCCUGGUGUAGCGGUGAAAUGCGCAGAUAUCAGGAGGAACACCGGUGGCGAAGGCGGGUCUCUGGGCCGUAACUGACGCUGAGGAGCGAAAGCAUGGGGAGCGAACAGGAUUAGAUACCCUGGUAGUCCAUGCCGUAAACGUUGGGCGCUAGGUGUGGGGCUCUUUCCACGAGUUCCGUGCCGCAGCAAACGCAUUAAGCGCCCCGCCUGGGGAGUACGGCCGCAAGGCUAAAACUCAAAGGAAUUGACGGGGGCCCGCACAAGCGGCGGAGCAUGCGGAUUAAUUCGAUGCAACGCGAAGAACCUUACCAAGGCUUGACAUGAACGGUAAUCCGGCAGAGAUGUCGGGUCCGUAAGGGCCGUUCACAGGUGGUGCAUGGUUGUCGUCAGCUCGUGUCGUGAGAUGUUGGGUUAAGUCCCGCAACGAGCGCAACCCUCGUUCUAUGUUGCCAGCACGUAAUGGUGGGGACUCAUAGGAGACUGCCGGGGUCAACUCGGGGGAAGGUGGGGAUGACGUCAAAUCAUCAUGCCCCUUAUGUCUUGGGCUUCACGCAUGCUACAAUGGCCAGUACAAAGGGCUGCGAGACCGUAAGGUGGAGCGAAUCCCAAAAAGCUGGUCUCAGUUCGGAUCGGGGUCUGCAACUCGACCCCGUGAAGUCGGAGUCGCUAGUAAUCGCAGAUCAGCAACGCUGCGGUGAGUACGUUCCCGGGCCUUGUACACACCGCCCGUCACGUCACGAAAGUCGGUAACACCCGAAGCCGGUGGCCCAACCCUUGUGGAGGGAGCCGUCGAAGGUGGGACUGGCGAUUGGGACGAAGUCGAAACAAGGUAGCCGUACCGGAGGUGCGGCUG
rnacentral:rRNA from 1 species